rnacentral:rRNA from 1 species
UCAUCUCCGGGGGUAGAGCACUGUUUCGGCAAGGGGGUCAUCCCGACUUACCAACCCGAUGCAAACUGCGAAUACCGGAGAAUGUUAUCACGGGAGACACACGGCGGGUGCUAACGUCCGUCGUGAAGAGGGAAACAACCCAGACCGCCAGCUAAGGUCCCAAAGUCAUGGUUAAGUGGGAAACGAUGUGGGAAGGCCCAGACAGCCAGGAUGUUGGCUUAGAAGCAGCCAUCAUUUAAAGAAAGCGUAAUAGCUCACUGGUCGAGUCGGCCUGCGCGGAAGAUGUAACGGGGCUAAACCAUGCACCGAAGCUGCGGCAGCGACGCUUAUGCGUUGUUGGGUAGGGGAGCGUUCUGUAAGCCUGUGAAGGUGUGCUGUGAGGCAUGCUGGAGGUAUCAGAAGUGCGAAUGCUGACAUAAGUAACGAUAAAGCGGGUGAAAAGCCCGCUCGCCGGAAGACCAAGGGUUCCUGUCCAACGUUAAUCGGGGCAGGGUGAGUCGACCCCUAAGGCGAGGCCGAAAGGCGUAGUCGAUGGGAAACAGGUUAAUAUUCCUGUACUUGGUGUUACUGCGAAGGGGGGACGGAGAAGGCUAUGUUGGCCGGGCGACGGUUGUCCCGGUUUAAGCGUGUAGGCUGGUUUUCCAGGCAAAUCCGGAAAAUCAAGGCUGAGGCGUGAUGACGAGGCACUACGGUGCUGAAGCAACAAAUGCCCUGCUUCCAGGAAAAGCCUCUAAGCAUCAGGUAACAUCAAAUCGUACCCCAAACCGACACAGGUGGUCAGGUAGAGAAUACCAAGGCGCUUGAGAGAACUCGGGUGAAGGAACUAGGCAAAAUGGUGCCGUAACUUCGGGAGAAGGCACGCUGAUAUGUAGGUGAAGCGACUUGCUCGUGGAGCUGAAAUCAGUCGAAGAUACCAGCUGGCUGCAACUGUUUAUUAAAAACACAGCACUGUGCAAACACGAAAGUGGACGUAUACGGUGUGACGCCUGCCCGGUGCCGGAAGGUUAAUUGAUGGGGUCAGCGCAAGCGAAGCUCUUGAUCGAAGCCCCGGUAAACGGCGGCCGUAACUAUAACGGUCCUAAGGUAGCGAAAUUCCUUGUCGGGUAAGUUCCGACCUGCACGAAUGGCGUAAUGAUGGCCAGGCUGUCUCCACCCGAGACUCAGUGAAAUUGAACUCGCUGUGAAGAUGCAGUGUACCCGCGGCAAGACGGAAAGACCCCGUGAACCUUUACUAUAGCUUGACACUGAACAUUGAGCCUUGAUG